rnacentral:tRNA from 2 species
GCGGGCGUAGCUCAGUUGGUAGAGCGAAACCUUGCCAAGGUUUAGGUCGCGGGUUCAAGUCCCGUCGCCCGCU